GAAAUAAUUUAUUAAAAAUUUAUUUUACAUAUAAAUUUUAGUAUUAUAAUUUAUUUAAAAAAUAAAUUAAUUAUAUUGUAGUAAUUAAUAUUAAAUAUUUAAGUAAUUAAGAUUUAGUAAUAUAAAAAUUAAUAACAAAUUUUGUGCCAGCAGUUGCGGUUAUACAAAAGUUAAAAUAAAUUUUAUUAGUUAAUUAAAAAAUAAAAUAAUAAUAAUUUAAAAUUUAAAUUAUUAGGUGAAAUUUUAAUUUAAUAAAAUAUUAUAAAGAUUUUAUGUUUUAAUAAUUUUUUUAAAAGACUAGGAUUAGAUACCCUAUUAUGAAAAAUUAAAAUUAUAAUACUAAAAUAGUAUAUAUAUAUAUAUAAUUGAAACUUAAAUAAUUUGGCGGUAUUUUAGUUCAUUUAGAGGAAUCUGUUUAUUAAUUGAUAAUCCACGAAUAAAUUUACUUAAUUUAUAAUUUUGUAUAUCGUUGUUAAAAAAAUAUUUUUUAAUAAAAAUAAUAUUUUAAAAUUAAUAAUUUAAAUUAAAUCAGAUCAAGAUGCAGAUAAUAAUUAAGAAUAAAAUGGAUUACAAUAAUUUUAUUUAAAUGAAAAUUUAUAUGAAAAAUGAAUUGAAGGUGGAUUUAAAUGUAAUUUUAUUUAAAUUAUUAAAAUGAUUAGAAUUUAAGAUAUGUACAUAUUGCCCGUCGCUUUCAUAUAAUAAAAUUGAAAUAAGUCGUAACAAAGUAGAAGUACUGGAAAGUGUUUCUAGAAAGAC
rnacentral:ncRNA from 1 species